AUUUGGAAUUGAGGUUAACGGAUUUCUGCAUUUUGGAGUUUUGGAAAGGAAGGAGCUACUGCGUCAGUUUUUGUUGAGACUGAAAGAAAAGGUGUUGAAACUGUUGUCGAAGGUGGAUUGCAGCAGCGACGACUUGAUUCCCAAUCUGGAAAAGAAGAGCGGACUCGAGUGUGUGCACUUGGAUUUGGACACAUGAUCGAAAGUCGGGAACGAACCCGAAUGUGGACGAGCACUCCAAUUUCCAGUGUGCAGGUUUCGAGCAUGUGGUCGGGAAGCGUACAGGGGAGGCACAUGACCCGGCUUGGCGCAUUUCUCUU